rnacentral:rRNA from 1 species
GUGAGGAAUAUUGGUCAAUGGGCGCAAGCCUGAACCAGCCAUGCCGCGUGCAGGAAGACGGUCCUAUGGAUUGUAAACUGCUUUUAUUUGGGAAUAAACUCCGGUACGUGUACCGGCCUGAAGGUACCAAAUGAAUAAGCACCGGCUAACUCCGUGCCAGCAGCCGCGGUAAUACGGAGGGUGCAAGCGUUAUCCGGAAUCAUUGGGUUAAAAGGGUCCGCAGGCGGUCUUAUAAGUCAGUGGUGAAAGCCUACAGCUCAACUGUAGAACUGCCAUUGAUACUGUAGGACUUGAAUUCGAUCGAAGUGGGCGGAAUGUGACAUGUAGCGGUGAAAUGCUUAGAUAUGUCACAGAACACCGAUAGCGAAGGCAGCUCACUAGGUCUGGAUUGACGCUCAGGGACGAAAGCGUGGGGAGCAAACAGGAUUAGAUACCCUAGUAGUCC